rnacentral:rRNA from 1 species
GACGAACGCUGGCGGCGUGCCUAAUACAUGCAAGUCGAACGAAAGCGACCGGUGCUUGCACUGGUCAAUCUAGUGGCGGACGGGUGAGUAACACGUGGGUAACCUGCCCAUCAGAGGGGGAUAACAUCCGGAAACGGAUGCUAAUACCGCAUAGGUCUUCGAGCCGCAUGGCUUGAAGAGGAAAAGAGGCGCAAGCUUCUGCUGAUGGAUGGACCCGCGGUGCAUUAGCUAGUUGGUGAGGUAACGGCUCACCAAGGCCGUGAUGCAUAGCCGACCUGAGAGGGUGAUCGGCCACACUGGGACUGAGACACGGCCCAAACUCCUACGGGAGGCAGCAGUAGGGAAUCUUCCGCAAUGGACGCAAGUCUGACGGAGCAACGCCGCGUGAGUGAAGAAGGUUUUCGGAUCGUAAAACUCUGUUGUUAGAGAAGAACAAGUGCUAGAGUAACUGUUAGCGCCUUGACGGUAUCUAACCAGAAAGCCACGGCUAACUACGUG